UACGAAGGGGGCUAGCGUUGUUCGGAAUUACUGGGCGUAAAGGGCGCGUAGGCGGUGUGUCAAGUCAGGCGUGAAAGCCCCGGGCUCAACCUGGGAACCGCGCUUGAGACUGGCACGCUCGAGUCCGGGAGAGGAUGGUGGAAUUCCCAGUGUAGAGGUGAAAUUCGUAGAUAUUGGGAAGAACACCGAUGGCGAAGGCAGCCAUCUGGACCGGCACUGACGCUGAGGAGCGAAAGCGUGGGGAGCGAACAGG
rnacentral:rRNA from 1 species